GAUUGUCCACAAAAAGACUGCAUCAGUUUUGUGCCUGACAACGGUAAAGAACGAAGAUAAGUUGGAGUUCAGUAGAAUCCUAGAAGCUAUUAAGGCGAACUUCAAUGACAAGUACGACGAGUACAGGAAGAAAUGGGGUGGCGGAAUCAUGGGUUCCAAGUCACAGGCCAAAACCAAAGCAAAGGAGAAGCUCCUUGCCAAGGAAGCUGCUCAAAGGAUGUCUUAGGAAUUCAGAGAUGAACACUAGAGCAAAGGACAAAGGAGAAGCUUCUAGCUGAGCCAGAGGAUGUCAAAGUAUGGC
rnacentral:misc_RNA from 1 species